rnacentral:rRNA from 1 species
AACGAACGCUGGCGGCAUGCCUAACACAUGCAAGUCGAACGAGACCUUCGGGUCUAGUGGCGCACGGGUGCGUAACGCGUGGGAACCUGCCCUUAGGUUCGGAAUAACUCCCCGAAAGGGGUGCUAAUACCGGAUAAUGUCUUCGGACCAAUGAUUUAUUGCCUUUGGAUGGGCCCGCGUUGGAUUAGCUAGUUGGUAGGGUAAAAGCCUACCAAGGCGACGAUCCAUAGCUGGUCUGAGAGGAUGAUCAGCCACACUGGGACUGAGACACGGCCCAGACUCCUACGGGAGGCAGCAGUGGGGAAUAUUGGACAAUGGGCGAAAGCCUGAUCCAGCAAUGCCGCGUGAGUGAUGAAGGCCUUAGGGUUGUAAAGCUCUUUUACCCGGGAUGAUAAUGACAGUACCGGGAGAAUAAGCUCCGGCUAACUCCGUG